UAGACUAACAACUUUAAAUAGUAUUAUAAAAAAGUCUAUAGAUAUUAUUUUUUAAUAAUAAUAAUCAUAAUUACAAUAUAACAAAAGAAUAAUAAUCUCAAUGAAAAUCUUACUGUUUUAAUGUAGUGUUUAUAGCAAAAAACGAAAAAUAAAAAAGGCACAAGAAAUAUUGCUGAAAUAGAUCAACAAUUUGUUGUUAUUAUGCGUUCCUUGUAAUGAGAUGAAAAUUUGAUAUUUCAUUAAUAUAAUGUUGGUUUAUAAAGUGAAAUUCAUUUUUUCAUAAAAUAAAGUCAGCUUAAAAUUGGUUUUAUGAAGAUAAUAAUAGUUAAAGCAAAUUUAAUAAUUAAAUAGUUAAAUAAUUCUAAACAAUUAAACUGACUAUAACAGAAAAAUAAAAAAGUAAAAAAAAGAAAAUUGAAUUCAUAUAUGAAUACUUAAAUGGUUAAAAAUUUAAAAUAGAUAAAUAGAAAUUUAAAAGUUUAAUUAAUAAAAUAAGCUAAAUAAUAGUUUGAAGGGAAGUGGGGGACUCAAGUCUUUCCCUCUAUGCUUGCCUGUGUUUUUAUUAAGAGCAAUUCAAGCUGUAGAGGGAAUUGCUUUGUAUUUUUCUAUUCUCUUAUUUGUUUGCUUGCUGCUGAGUUGCAUUCAGGCUUCAUUUGUUUUCAAAAGUUUUUGUUGCUGGUGUACACGGUACAAAAUUAGUUGUACACUAUAAUCAGAAUGAUUGCUUUUUUUGAAAAGGCAUGCAGGAUACAAUGUUUCUGAACAAGAAGUUGUUCAAACUGUUUGUAUUUUAGUAUUUACCAUAACUAUGUCAUG
rnacentral:misc_RNA from 1 species